UUCACUGUCUACACACCUUGUUGGAUACCACGCAACGUCGAACGAAGCUCAUCGAAAAUAGUGUCAACUUUUGCAGAAAAUCGAAGCGUUAGUUUUUGUGCGUAAUGUGUGCUUUUAGUUGUUUCGCUAACCGGCGGUGGGUUAAAAAAUUGUGCUAGAAAUUCGGUUGCAUUGCGGUGUGGAGAAAAGGUACGGCAACAAGCGCUAGCGCUCUGCCCCAUUCACACAGCGCUUGAUUUCGUCCCAAUUUGGCUUGGCUGGCGGUGAACAAUUAUUGGGUACGGUACCGUUGGCUUGCAUGAUGGUAGGGUCCGAGUGACUCCGGAGGUGCAUUUAUUCGGGGCGCUUCAUCUGCAAGCGCGUACGUGGAUGCGAUCGGAAGCAUAAAUUGUGGUGGCUAUUCGCGCGCGCCAAUUCGCAACUUGAUUGAUAAUCUUUCGGGAACAGGGUGAGCUACAUUUUCACAAUACCGCCGAGAGCGACAUCUAGCGUCGUUCAAUCGCGUUCAAAGUACGCCGCCGUCACUUCUAGACGGGCCACUGUGGAGAAGAAGAUAAACAAAACAAUCCGUCGGAACUACGAGAAAAGCGAGCGCCAGAACUCCCGCAAAGUGCGGAGCCCACAGGCCCAGCCGUCGCUAAAAGUCGAUUAUUUGAGAUACGCUCGAGACAAAAAGUUUCAGGUCCCGUUUUUUUUCUGUGUCCCAGCCCGUUGUUACUCUCGUCGAUUGUUUCGCAAGCGAGAAAGGUAAGAGAAAAUCAGAAAAAGCAGUCACAUCUAGACGGUCCGCUGGUGGUGCAGAGAAGAAGAAAGCAACCCGUCGGAACUACCAUAAAAACAAGUGCCAGCAUUAUUCCCGCACAGAGCAGCAGAGCCUACAGGCCCAGCUAUCGCAUACGGUCCAUUAUUUGAAGUACGCCUGGGAUAAAAAGUUUCAGCCUGUUGUUACUCUCGUCGAUUGUUUGGCAAGCGAGAAAGACAUCAACAUGCCACGAUUGAAAAAGCGUGUCGAUGAGGAGCCCGUUGUGGUGUCGAGGCAUAGAGAAAUUCCGGAAACGUUAACGGCGGGCAGAUCGCGCCGCACGAUAAAGCCCAAUCCGAAGUACAUGAACGAUGAAAUGCUCAUACCUACGCGGAGCGCUAUCGAGGAGGAUAACGACAUGAGCGGUGAUGAGUACAUCGUGGAUUACGAGGAGAACGAUGAUCCGGAAGAUUCUGGGCUGGUCAUUCGGAAGUCGGUAGUCACUUCCACGCCGCAGACGGCGGAUGGGCAACCGAAGCGACGUGGUCGCCCACCGAAGCCCAAAAAUCUGGACGCUCCGCGCACGGAGCCGGUGAAAAACCUUCGCAAGGAGGUGUUGAAAAAGAUGGAUUACAAAACGAUCAGCAUUAGCAAAUCGCGGCACAUGGCGGCACAGUUUCUUGACGGAAGGCGCAGGCUGAAUUUGACCGUAGAAUCCAAUGAUGGUGACUCCGCCGAUCAGGAGGAAAUGGACGAUAUGGAAAUGGAAGAGCAUUCCCACGCCAGCUCGGAACAUGCAGCAAGUCGCUCGCAGAAGAUCUACAAUGCGGCUUCUUUGAAGAAACAUUUGCUCGGCAAAAUCACCGACCGCCGUAGCAGCAUGCCCAACCGACAGCCGGUUCAUGACGGCACAACCGAAGAGGACGAAUACGAGGACGAGGGAGAAUAUUUUGACGAUAGCGACGCAAAGCUGAGCGAAUCUGAACCAGCCCAAAAGGUUAAGCGCCCGGUGGGAAGACCCCGCAAGCAUCCGCUCAAGCAGGUAUCCCCGUUCGGCGGCAAAGUGUUGCUACCGGGGAUGAAAACCACCACCAGCAGCACUCCUGUCGUUAAGCGCAAAGCGAUGGAAAUGGCCGAAGAAAUUAAGCAGGAAUCGCAACAAUCGAAAAUGUUGCGCCGCUCGUACGGAGUGAAAAGCGUGGGUGGUGGUGGUGGUGGUGGUGGUGGUGGUGGUGCAUCGAGCCAAUCGGCCGAAAUGGAAUCGGACGAAAAUAGUGAGGCGCGAGGAAAGCAACUUAACCGAUCUGCCUCAUUCCAGAACUUGGGCCGCGGUCGUCCCCCUAAAAGUGCGUACCAAUCCGGCGGUGGUCAGCUCAGCACCAAGUCGGAACGGAACGUCUCGCAAGGGAAUCGCUCGUUUCCCGAAGUUAAAUCGUCCAAACCUACGAUAACGAUCGUCAAUGUGAACGAUAUUAUGAAGAUGAAUUCCAAAAGCGCUACCGACCUGAGGCGAAAGCUGGAAGAAGAGGCCGACUCAGAGGACGUGUCCGAGGUUGAGGAGCAGCAGACCGGCGGCCGCACGCAGGAUGAUGCGAAAACGAACAAUCAGCUGGUGGCAUCCAUCCUGGAACGGAAACGACCCAUCGCGCUAGAGCAUCUGCAGGGCGUCCGCAGACGAGACGAGCUGGUACGUAACAGAGUAGUAGAGUUGAAACCGAAGCGUGCCGGUAGGGACGUUUCGGAAAUGCUUACAGAAGAAGAUAUCGUUGACUUCGAGGAUGUCUUGCAGAAGAACAUUGUGAGCGCGAACAAGGGCGCCCGCUCGAUUACGAUCGGUGCGGUGCGUGGGCGUGGACGGCCGCCGUCACAUUCGCCACAGGAUGAAAACUACAGCGGUAGUUACGGUUCGCCCAACGCCAAGCGGUACCCACAGCAGGGCAAUCGGCAGAGCGUGGGAAAACCCGUCGCCACUACAAGACGCUCAUUGCAACCGCCCCGAAUACUGAACGCGACAAUGAAGCUGGGCGAUAACCAUCCCCGCUCGAAGAUGUCCAGCGGGUCGGGCGAUAAUCACUAUUCGAUCGACCUGUCCGAUCCGGACAACAACGUGAAGCUGGUGGCUUCCUCGAACGAAAAUUCGCCCAUCAAACGAUCGCCCGCUUCGAGCGGUCCGGUUGCAACGACACUCAGCCAAAAGCCGGUCGCUGGCACUGUUGCGAAACCAUUGGCGGGAGGGCGGGAGCGGGCGCGCUCGCCAUUGGAAGCGAAAAAGAAGCGUGUCACCGUGUACGAGACAUGGAACGUGCUGCAAAUCAAAUCGAUCGACUCUUCGCAAAAACUACCCCAUCUGGCCCUGUCCAUGAUUAGCCUCGGCAAUAUCGCCGACGACAUCAAGUUGCCAUCAUCUGCCUGGGCGUACCGUACGACGGUGGAAGAGCGCAAGGUACCGCCGGCGGACGGGGACGAAGUGUUCAUCGGCAAGACAGCGGAUCUCACUAUCAAGGAGGAAGACAAAAUAAGGUACGAACCGAACAAGAUCAUAUUCCGCCGGAAGGCCGCCUCGCCCGGGCGCUUCAAUGUGCAGUUCGAUCGUUUGGUCACGUUCUGCAACGACACGUACAAGCUCAACGUGGACGGGCAGAGCUGCAAGCUGAUGGGCGCACCGAGCCGGCUGGAAACGGUCGAAGACAUCGAAACGUUGCUGAUGAUAGUCGACUUUGUGGAUCUUAAAAAUGGUUGUCUCGAAUUGCCACCAUCCGCACGGAUGGUGGCGAGGGAUUCUGCGGUAGCUACCAAGCGGUUCGUUGGUAGCAAGGAUCCAGUCAUAAUUUAAGCGUGCCGCAAAGAGGCGCACACUAGCGCAAACACGCAACGGGAACAACGUGGAUAUGGGACCGGGACAUGCAACGCGCGACGCAAAAACACCCGCACGAAACAGGCCCAACACAGGGGCCGUUGUUGUUACAUUUGUUAUGUUUUGUACAAAUGUUUAAGAUCGCUUCAGUUCAUCAAACUCUAUUCGCUAUUGUUUCGGCGGUCCUCGGUCGAUGCAUGAUAUCUUACAAGCUGUGCCUGUUUUAGAAACCGACGAAAAUCAACAAAAAUCGCACGUGAAGAAAAAUGAAGCCGGGUGUGCUUAUGGGUAGAAUAUUUAGAGAGUAAUAGUAUAUAGCAGUACACGCGCACACACACACACACGUACUCAGAGACAGCUCCAUGCCGCAUAAACGAUGCAGGUGGAGAUGCAUCCUUCCCCAUGAUGUACACAGUAUCACUGUGUAAAGAGAAAAGCUGCGGAGAAAAUGCUCCAUUUUAUCUACAGCCUUUAUGAAAAAGCAAGUUUUUGAUCACACAAAAACACACACACACACCUCUAACACGACGCGUAUAUAUAUAUACAUGUAAGCUAUAAAAAAUAUGGUUCGUUAGCAAAAAUAUGGUAGCAACGAUACCGUUUGAACCUUUUUAUUUCAAUUUUGUUAGCCGACUAUAAUGAAUUCAAAUAAAUCAGAAUAAAACCA